rnacentral:rRNA from 1 species
UACGUAGGUGGCAAGCGUUAUCCGGAUUUAUUGGGCGUAAAGGGAACGCAGGCGGUCUUUUAAGUCUGAUGUGAAAGCCUUCGGCUUAACCGGAGUAGUGCAUUGGUAACUGGGAGACUUGAGUGCAGAAGAGGAGAGUGGAACACCACGUGUAGCGGUGAAAUGCGUAGAUAUAUGGAAGAACACCAGUGGCGAAAGCGGCUCUCUGGUCUGUAACUGACGCUGAGGUUCGAAAGCGUGGGUAGCAAACAGG